rnacentral:rRNA from 1 species
UACGUAGGUGGCAAGCGUUGUCCGGAUUUACUGGGCGUAAAGAGCGCGCAGGCGGUCGUUCAAGUCGCGUGUGAAAGCCCCCGGCUCAGCUGGGGAGGGUCACGCGAUACUGAUCGACUCGAAGGCAGGAGAGGGAAGUGGAAUUCCCGGUGUAGUGGUGAAAUGCGUAGAUAUCGGGAGGAACACCAGUGGCGAAGGCGACUUCCUGGCCUGUUCUUGACGCUGAGGCGCGAAAGCUAGGGGAGCAAACGGG